rnacentral:rRNA from 1 species
CUAAGCAUAUCAAUAAGCGGAGGAAAAGAAACCAACAGGGAUUGCCCUAGUAACGGCGAGUGAAGCGGCAACAGCUCAAAUUUGAAAUCUGGCGUCUUUGGCGUCCGAGUUGUAAUUUGCAGAGGGCGCUUUGGCAUUGGCAGCGGUCCAAGUUCCUUGGAACAGGACGUCACAGAGGGUGAGAAUCCCGUACGUGGUCGCUAGCCUUUACCGUGUAAAGCCCCUUCGACGAGUCGAGUUGUUUGGGAAUGCAGCUCUAAAUGGGAGGUAAAUUUCUUCUAAAGCUAAAUACUGGCCAGAGACCGAUAGCGCACAAGUAGAGUGAUCGAAAGAUGAAAAGCACUUUGGAAAGAGAGUUAAAAAGCACGUGAAAUUGUUGAAAGGGAAGCGCUUGCAGCCAGACUUGCCUGUAGUUGCUCAUCCGGGUUUCUACCCGGUGCACUCUUCUAUAGGCAGGCCAGCAUCAGUUUGGGCGGUUGGAUAAAGGUCUCUGUCAUGUACCUCCUUUCGGGGAGAACUUAUAGGGGAGACGACAUGCAACCAGCCUGGACUGAGGUCCGCGCAUCUGCUAGGAUGCUGGCGUAAUGGCUGUAAGCGGCCCGUCUUGAAACACGGACCAAGGAGUCUAACAUCUAUGCGAGUGUUUGGGUGUCAAGCCCGAGCGCGUAAUGAAAGUGAACGGAGGUGGGAACCUUUCGGGGUGCACCAUCGACCGAUCCUGAUGUCUUCGGAUGGAUUUGAGUAAGAGCAUAGCUGUUGGGACCCGAAAGAUGGUGAACUAUGCUUGAAUAGGGUGAAGCCAGAGGAAACUCUGGUGGAGGCUCGCAGCGGUUCUGACGUGCAAAUCGAUCGUCAAAUUUGGGCAUAGGGGCGAAAGACUAAUCGAACUAUCUAGUAGCUGGUUCCUGCCGA